UCAGAUUGCAAGUAAUGACCCAUUAAUGGAUUGUGAGAUCAAUUUUGGGGGCCAAGAUUGUAUUUAAGAAAAGAGAAAUAGAGAAGAACAGGUGCCAUAGAAAUAAAGAUAAAACAGCUCUCACUUUAGAAAACUUGCAAUUGUAAAUUCUUCCUCUGCACCUUUGAGAUGUAAAUCUUCUACAACCAAGGAGUAUCUUUCUCAAGGACAUGGAAGGCAUCCCUUUGAAAUAUAAACAUCAAGAAAAACAGCAGCCCUAUCUUCCAGUCUCCGUGAGAAGAUAGAAGCCUAACUUCAAUAAGAACCAAUUAGCAAACAGAGAUGGCCUAAGCACACAAACCAACUUCCGGGCUAAUGUCCUCUAGGACUUUUCCAGUAGCUCACCUCAGCAAGCACAAACACUCCAACCUUUUGUUUUGGAGUAGUUGAGUUCAAUUUUUGUCCUCUGUUGUAACAGUCUUGACCCCUUUGCAAUGGUCUUAAAUAAAGCCUUUCUUGCCUUUUUAAU
rnacentral:lncRNA from 1 species